AAUCACUUAGCUCCUCAUAACAAGUCUAACUGGCUCUGGAAAGCUGAAAGGGCUGCACUGGAACAACACAGAUGAGAUAUUCUACACAUUAAUCUACUUAUCUGGAAUCACUUUGCCUCUAAAGGCCAGAGAAAAAUCACAGCUUCCUUGUCGGAGGGGAAAAGGACAGGUGAUCUGGGGAAAACGCAGCUACACCUGGAGCAAGGUCUCUUCCCGGCUUGGCAAUCUCAGCUGUGCCGGCGCUACGGGACCCGAGCCGUCCCAGAAACCAAAGGGCAGGCACGGCAGCAAACGCCUGAGCCUGCCUUGUACUUCAUGCAGGUUGAACAGAAAUGUUUUCUGAGCAUGUAUUGUUACAGCCCUCUGAGAUGGUAUAAAAGAAUGAAAGAAGACACGACCUGCCUUCCAGGAGUUUCACAAAAAAGAUGGGAUGAACACAGUGUUCACUUCCACCUUCCACCCUUUCACUAUGAAGGACCCUCACCAGAUGGUGGCACCAUGCUCUCGGACUUCCCAGCCUCCAGAACUGGACGGGUAAAUUGAAGCAAAAAGCAGACAAGUUCUAUGGGAUUUGCUGGCAUUGAUUUCCCAGGAUGGCAAAGUGCUAAGAACUAAACCUUUAAAGCUAACAAAAUGUACUGAUGUCUUUGCAAAGUAUCCAAGACCAACAAGAAAGUAAUUUCCCACCUCACCCUACCACCACCCAGAAAAGGAGCACAGAGAUGGGGAAGAGAGUGGCUGCAUCUGGCAUCCAGCCAGAGGAGUCCGUGCAGGGAUUCUGGAUCCCUCUUCCCCCACCCCACUGCCCUUCCCCCUCCACCCCAGCGUUUUGGAGAAGCAAGAAACUGUGAUGAUGCAGCUCCCUCAAGUAUCACAUGAAGAUAGUGGAAAGAGCCUCCUGAGGUAAAUAUGCCAUGUAGACAGAAACAAGCAAUGGCUCAACAGCAAUGUAUGAGGUCCAAGGACCAGGACCAAAGGGAAAAACAGCCAUCUCACCAGACACCUGCCUACGACCAGAUGCGUCAUCUCCAAUAUUAGCUAACUCCCUGGAACCUGGACUCAAGGUGUGAAAUAAAGGUUAAUGGGAAACCGCAGGAGUCAAAAGGAGGGGGCAGGAUUAUUGAGGAUUCAGGCUGUUGAGAAAUGAAAGUUUGGAUCACUCCCCAGAUAAAGAACCUUGACCAUUUAAGGGCAAUGGAAAUACAGAAUAGGCAGUAGAAGAAGGAAGCCAUAGAUACCAACUAUGGCCUCUCAAUCAAUUACAAAACUGAGAAUUCUGACAGUUUUGUGUAUUUCCUCUUUGCAUGUGAUGUAUAUGUGUGUAUUUGUAUAUAUUAACCAUUUUCCUUUUUCUCUCUUCAUUAUUUUAUGAAAGUUGUUGAAUAUAAACUCUACAAUUUAGCCUUUAGGUAAGAGAAUAUUCAGUGGGACUUUGAUUUGAGGAGUAUUUAAGACAGCCAGAUGAGACUACGAUAACUGUUGGAACUGUGUGUCUCCUCAUUUGGGGAAAGGGGUGAGAACUCUGCAUUUCUCUGAAGAACAGAGUUGACUUUGUGUUAUACAGAGUUCAAAUAUAUAUAUAAAAUGGUGCAUGUGGAAGCUAAGAAGCCAAAGGAGUUCACCAAGACAGUUAUCAAUAUAUUGCCUCUCCGCUCCAAAUCCACCCUUCUUUGCCCUGUUCCACGAUACUAAUCUGGCUCCUCGGUCAGCCAGUGCAAUGUCAUCUGUUGCUGGUAGAGUGUAGGGGAGACACUACAAGGUAUAGUAAAGGGGUCAGAUGCGGUGUCUCAUGCCUGUAAUCACAGCCCUUUGGGAGGCAGAGGCAGGAGGAUCACCUGAGGCCAGGAGUUUGAGACCAGCCUGGACAACAUGGUAAAACCCCAUCUCUACUGAAAAUACAAAAUUAGCACGCACCUGUAAUCCCAGCUACUCGGGAGGCUGAGGCAGGAGAAUCACUUGAACCUGGGAGGUGGAGGUUGCAGUGAGCCAAGAUCGCAUCAUUGCACUCCAGCCAGGGAAAAAAGGCAAAACUCUGUCUCAAAAAAAUAAAUAAAUAAAAUAAAAUAAAACAAGGUAUAGCAAAUAAAGGAGCAUUCCUUCUUGAUUCUUCCUGGUUCUUGUUACCUGUGGCCGCCACCAGUGGUGUAUGGGAGAGUCACCCUACAGUGAGUUCCACCAGCACCUAGUGAGGGCUUCCUACUGAGUUUUAUUGUCACCCGAGCAGGCAAUUUCCUUGCCAGCAGUAUGCAGGAGACCCAAUGGUGACCACCUUCCAGUGGGUUUUUCCAGCACCCUAGAAGGCACUUUUUUGACCACAGUGCUGAUCCACUGGCACCCAACAGCCAGUACCCUACUCACCAGGCCUGGCCUGUGGCACCUCAAAGAACUUUUCUAUCCUGCGGGCCACAGCACCACCCUCUCCAACAAGGUCUGAAUCUCAGCCUUCAGGUGUGAAAGACCCUUCCAUGUUUGUUCUUUUCUUGGGUAUCCUCCCUCAGUCCUAGAAGUAGCAGCUCUUCCCUAUGUUUGCUAUUUCUGUGUUAUUUAGCAUACAAUUUACCCCUUUUGUAGUUUAUCACAUUUUGCCAGUUAAUAAUUCUUUAUAGUAAAUGUUCCCUCUUCAAAUUACUAUCUCUCACCAAACACUGACUUCUAUAUCCUCAUCAGACACUGAGUGACACAACCUCCUUCAGAAAAGAAUCCCUUUCACCCUGCCCUUCAUGAUGAACACUCUCAACAAAUUAGGUAUAGCAGGAACAUACCUUGACAUAAUAAAGGCCAUAUAUGACGAGCCCACAGCUAACAUCAUACUGAAUGGGGAAUAACUGAAAGCCUUUCCUCUAAGAACUAGAAUAAGACAAGGACACCUACUCUAAGCACUCUUAUUCGGCAUUAUACUGGAAGUCCUAGCCAGACUUUCUCUUUCCGGAAAGAGAAAGAAAUGAAAGGCAUCCAAACUGGAAAACAGGAUGCCAGCCAGUUGUGGUGGCUCAAGCCUGUAAUCCCAGCACUUCGGGAGGCUGAGGUGGGCAGAUUGCUUGAACCCAGGAGUUCAAAUCCAGACUAGACAACAUGAUGAAACCCUGUCUCUAUGAAAAAUACAAAAAUUAGCCAGGUGUGGUGGCACACACCUGUAGUCCCAACUACUCAGGAGGCUGAGGUGGGAGGAUCACUUGAGCCUGGGAAAUAGAGGAUGCAGUGAGUCAAGAUCACACCAGAGCACUCCAGCCUGGAUGACAG
rnacentral:lncRNA from 1 species